GGGACUUAACCCGGAUUUAGUAUCUCGCACAAAGGCCUUCGGAUCUUAAUCCGGAUAUAUUCACUUAGCACAAAGCCUUCGGGACUUAGCCCGGACAGCAUUCAAUUAAUCAUGCACAUCUAACAAUAAUUCAUGGCACAUUCAUAUUUCAUUUUCGUUUACGAAACUCAAACACAAGGCACAUAUUGUCCUUGCACAUUCGGCUCAAUAGCCACACAUAGAGCAUGAUUUAAUCACAUCGAAAUUUAAGCUCUCUUACUCAAGAACUUACCUCGGGUGUUGUCGAACGAUUCCGCUAGCUAUUCAACCACUUUUUCCUUCCCUUUAUCGGUUUUAUUUCCCCUUUGCUCUUGAGCUUAAUCAAACAAAUAAAUUGAUUUCAUCAUUUAGGCAUCAAAAGAUGAACACAAGGCACAUAGCCCAUAUUUAUACAUUAGACAUUAAAGUCUCAUACAUGCAAAAAUCAUGCAUCAACACAACAUAUUAGCUAAUUUCUUUCCCCUUGGCCGAAUAUGCAUGUCCAUUUUUGGGGUCGAUUUCAACACUUAAUACACACAUAUACACACUAGUAAAGCAUCCUCCCCCUUUUCAUCAAUUUAACACAUGCAUUGCUCAUUAACAUGCAAAGUUACAUUCGGCCUUAGCACACAUCUUGCUAGCCGAUUCUUCUCCAUUUAGCAACCAAUGCACAUAUGUGCUCACACAAAAAUGCUAAAAAGGAGGUUCAAGAAUCAUCAAGCCAUCAUCACAUGCAUCAUUAACAAGCUUCAUAUUUUGCAUGCAAUGGCAUUAACACAACCUCCACAUAGGCCGAAUCUUAACUCAUCCUCAUGCCUCAUCACCACAACAUCAAACAUCAACCAAGAAUGGUGCAUCCAUGGUCAAGUGCCAUUUCCAUCACAUAGCAAGAUUUAGACCAUGGGUUAGGUAGAACUCAAGCUAACAACUAAAACAUGCAUGCCUCUCAUGGAACAUCAUCAAACAUACCUUAGCCUAGCUACAUGCAUGGCCGAAUCUCUUCACCUUUCUUCUUCUUUCCUCCUUAAAAUUUUUGGCCAAGGAUGAACCAAAGGAUGAGAAAAUUUUUCUUUGUUUUUCUUUCUAGUUUUGGCAAGCAUGAAGAUGAGAAAAGGAUGAACAAAAUUCCCCCUUUCUCUUCUUUAGCUCACGGCAAUGGGGGGGACAAACACUACACACACAUUUUUUUUUCUUUUGUUUUCCAUUUCUUUAUUACCCAUACUCCUUAUUUUAUUCUUCCAUUAACAAAACAUGUUUCAUGACAUGUUUUGCCCAUCAUUCCUUGUCAUGGCCGGCCACUACUCAUUAGGGGGGGAAUUUGACAUGCAAGUCCCCCCUUUGUCCACAUGCACUAAUAGGUCCUCACACAUUGACCUAUCACAUUUUAGAAUUUUCUCACAUAAGUCCUAUUGACUAAAUUCACAUGAAAUCAACCAAAUUGAAGCUUGAAAUUUUCACACAUUCUUAAUUACAUAUUCUAGACAAUAAGUAUCACAUUCAAACAUUUCGGUGACUCGGUUUAGCGGUCCCGAAACCACUUCCCGACUAGGGUCAACUUUGGGCUGUCAGAACUCUCCCCCACUUAAGAAAUUUUCGUCCCCGAAAAUCUUACCGGUAAAUAGGUUUGGGUAUCGUUCUUUCAUCGAGCUCUCGGUCUCCCAAGUAGCUUCCUCGAUCCCGUGUUUGAGCCAUAACACCUUUACUAGCGGAACUCUUUUGUUUCGCAACUCCUUCACUUCACGAGCUAGGAUACGCAUCGGUUCUUCUUCAUAGCUCAUGUCGACUUGAAUUUCAACCUCCGAUGGGCUAAUUAUGUGCGAUGGAUCAGAUCGAUAGCGUCGAAGCAUCGAAACAUGAAAGACGUCAUGAAUCUUUUCAAGCUCCGGGGGCAUAAUCAAUCUAUACGCAACCGGACCAACUCGUUCGGAGAUUUCGUACGGCCCAAUGAAUCUUGGGCUCAACUUGCCCUUACGGCCGAACCUGAGUAUCUUUUUCCAAGGUGAAACCUUAAGGAACACUUUGUCUCCCACCUGAUACUCGAUGUCUUUUUGUUUCAAAUCUGCGUACGAUUUCUGACGAUCCGUGGCUACCUUCAGACUUUCACGGAUUACCUUUACUUUCUGUUCAGCAUCUCUAAUCAAAUCAACUCCGAAAAUUUUACUUUCACCGAGCUGGGUCCAAAACAAUGGUGUACGGCAUUUACGACCAUACAAAGCCUCGUAAGGUGCCAUCUUAAUACUUGAUUGAAAACUAUUGUUGUAAGCGAAUUCAAUCAAAGGUAAAUACCGUUCCCAUGAACUACUGAACUCGAGGAUGCAACAUCUCAACAUAUCCUCAAGUAUCUGAAUUAUCCGCUCGGAUUGACCAUCGGUUUGGGGGUGAAAAGCAGUGCUAAAAUGCAGCUUGGUACCCAGAGCUUCUUGCAAUUUCUUCCAAAAUCGUGAGGUGAAUCUCGGAUCUUUAUCCGACACGAUAGAAACAGGUACCCCGUGUAAUCUCACAAUUUGAUAAACGUACAAUUCAGCUAGUUUAUCCAAUGAAAAAUCCGUACGUACGGGGAUGAAAUGAGCCGACUUAGUCAGUCUAUCAACAACAACCCAUAUUGCAUCCUUCUUACUUGCUGACAAGGGCAGUCCGGACACAAAGUCCAUUGUGACUCGAUCCCAUUUCCACUCGGGUAUCAUGAUCGGCUGGAGUAAUCCUGAAGGCACUUGAUGUUCCGCUUUCACUUGUUGACAUAUUAAACAUCUCGAAACAAAGUCGGAGAUGUCCCGUUUCAUACCAUGCCACCAAAAUUGACGUUUCAAAUCGUUGUACAUUUUCGUACUCCCCGGGUGAAUUGACAUUCGGCUACAAUGGGCUUCGUUCAGAAUCAUCGAAAUGAGUUUCGAAUUCCUUGGAACACACAAACGAUUUCUGAACCUCAAACAAUCAUCAUCAUCAAUUUGAAACUCCGAUUCCUCGUUCGAAAAACACUUAGCCCGUUUUGCAACCAAUUCAUCAUCGACUUUCUGAGCUUCACGAAUUUGGUGAGUCAAUAAUGGUUUAGCUUUUAAUUCAGCUACCAACACAUUGUCUGGUAGAACAGACAAACGCACAUUCAUCGCUCGUAAAGCAAACAAUGACUUCCGGCUUAAGGCGUCCGCAACCACGUUAGCCUUUCCCGGGUGGUAAUCGAUGACAAGCUCGUAAUCUUUCAACAACUCAAGCCAACGUCUUUGCCGCAGAUUCAAGUCUCGUUGAGUCGUCAAAUAUUUGAGACUUUUGUGAUCCGAAAAUACAUGGCACUUCUCACCAAACAAAUGAUGUCGCCAUAUUUUCAAAGCAAAUACGAUGGCGGCUAGUUCGAGAUCAUGGGUCGGAUAAUUUCUCUCGUGUGGCUUCAAUUGUCUCGACGCAUAGGCCACAACUCGACCGUCUUGCAUCAAUACGCAACCCAACCCAAGUAGGGAUGCGUCACUAUAAAUGACAAACUCUUUACCCGAUUCGGGUUGCACUAAAAUUGGAGCUUCAGUCAAGUGAGUUUUCAGUUGAUCAAAACUUUUCUGACACUUCUCCGUCCAUUCGAACUUAACGUCCUUUUGAAGUAGCUUCGUCAUUGGUGUGGCUAUCAUCGAGAAACCUUUGACAAAUCGUCGGUAAUAACUGGCGAGCCCUAAAAAGCUCCGAUCUCAAAUCUAUUUUUGAGAACACUGAGGCUCCCUUCAGUUGGUCGAACAAAUCAUCGAUGCGCGGCAACGGAUAUUUGUUCUUUAUCGUCACUUUAUUCAGCUGACGAUAGUCAAUGCACAACCUCAUGGUUCCGUCCUUCUUUUUCACGAACAAUACUGGUGCACCCCAAGGUGAGAAACUUGGUCGAGUGAAACCUCUAUCCGUCAGUUCUUGCAACUAAGCUUUCAACUCCUUUAACUCGGUUGGUGCCAUACGAUACGGAGCUAUCGAAAUCGGCGUAGUCCCAGGUACAAGCUCAAUACCAAACUCCACCUCCCGAGCAGGUGGUAAACCCGGUAAUUCUUCCGGAAAAACAUCCGGGUAUUCAAAAACCACCGGCACAGAUACGGGUUUCUUUUCUAAUUCUUUGUCAUCAAGUACAUACGCAAGGUAUGCUUCGCACCCUUUUCUUACAUAUUUCUGUGCCAACAUUGCUGAUAUUAUAGCUGGCAUCCCCUCCAAGUCCGCAGACUCAAUUCGGACUACUUCGUUAUUUGCGCACCUCAAAUCAAUAGUCUUGCUCUUGCAAUUCACAAUCGCAUCAUGCGCGGUCAACCAAUCCAAACCAAGGAUAACAUCAAAUUCAUCAAACGGCAAAAGCAUCAAGUCCGCCGGAAAACAGGAACCUCGAAUUUCCAGGGGACAUUUCUUACACACUUUGUCGACAAGCACGUAAUGACCCAAGGGAUUUGACACCCGAAUUACGAACUCAGUAGACUCAAUAGGUAAAGUCUUACUGGAUGCUAAGGUUUCACAUAUGUAAGAAUGAGUAGAACCGGGGUCAAUCAAAGCAAUUACAUUAGUAUCAAAGAGAGUGAAUGUACCGGUAAUAACAUCAGGCGAAGAAGCAUCCUCGCGGGCACGUAUAGCAUAAGCUCUAGCAGGCGCACGAGCUUCGGAUCUGGUUAUAUCACCCCUAGAUCCUCUCUGACCACCACUAGCAUUGCCCGUAUUUCCAGAUGGUCUACCUCGAGCAGUUGUAGCACCCGGUUUCCCACUCUGAUUUUCAUUCUGUUCAAACAACCUCGGGCAAUCUAAAAUGAAGUGGUCAACUGAUCCGCACUUGUAACAGGAGCGGUCAGGGAAUCUACAACUCCCCGAAUGCCAUUUACCGCAAUAUCGACAUUUCGUUCUAUCUCGACGUUCAUUCCCAACACUGGCGACCGAAGUGCCUCGUGUACCCACAGGGGGUCGAUCACGAUCUAGUCCAAAAAGGCCCGAAGUACCUCUAAACUGGCCCGCAUCAUCUCGAAAUCUCUUCGAUGUCUGUUGAAGAGACCUUCCCGAGGAUCUUUUACGAAACUCUCCAGUUCCCUCAUCAACUCUUUGCUUUUCUUUUCUAAGCUCUUCGGCUUUACAAGCUCGUUCAACAAGUACCACGAACUCUCGUAUUUCAAGAACGCCAACGAACAUUUUUAUAUCUUCAUUCAGCCCAUCCUCGAAGCGUUUACACAUAAUAGCUUCGGACGAAACACAUUCCCGAGCGUAUUUGCUAAGUCUAACAAAUUUUCGCUCGUAAUCAGUAACCGACAUGGAGCCUUGCUUAAGCUCAAGAAAUUCCUUCCGUUUUUGAUCAACAAAUCUCUGACUGAUAUACUUUUUCCGAAACUCAGUUUGGAAAAACUCCCAAGUUACUUGCUCUCGGGGCACAAUAGAAGUCAGAGUACUCCACCAAUAGUAGGCAGAAUCACGUAGCAAGGAGAUAGCACACUUUAGGCAUUCAUCGGGUGUACAAGAUAGCUCAUCGAGUACCCGGAUAGUGUUGUCCAGCCAAAAUUCAGCUUGCUCGGCAUCAUCGCUAUCCAUAGCCUUAAAUUCAGUAGCCCCAUGUUUUCGGAUUCUGUCAACUGGGGGCUUAUUUGACCUUAUUUGGUCCGUUACCGGUGGUAUUGUAGGUGCGGGGGUAGUAUUUGUCGGGAAUGGAGGUUGUGGAACAGCCAUAUUAGUUCGAAUGUAUUGGUUGAACCAAUCAUUCAUCACGCUAUAGAAUGCUUGUCUAGCUUCAUCAUUCGGAUUACUAGCAUUAGGUUGAGAGUCUGCCGGCACUGUCCCUUGUGCGGGAGCAGGCGCUACACUCUCAAGAUCAUCAGCUACCUCUCGGUCACGAUCGGGAUCCAUUACUAUAAAUAAACACAUUUACUAUUGUCAGAAAUCACCACACUAUCAAGUAAUCACAUAAAAUGGCAUGUAUAGCUAGACCCAAAACAUUACGGUAGUCCUAGAAUCGACUAAACCGUAGCUCUGAUACCAAUAAAAUGUAACACCCCGAACCCGAGACCGACACCGGAGUCGGACACGAGAUGUUAACAAACUUUGAAAAAUUUUUCCAGACACUGCCCAGUCUGAGUACUAGUCUCUUCAAAACUCAUAUCUUGAGUUUCACAACUCAAAAAUCAGUUUUGUGAUUUUUCCCUGAAACUAGACUCAUGUCCCCACCUAUGUAUUUUUUUCUAGAAUUUUUGGUCGGGCCAAUUAGUACAGUUUAUUAGUCAAAGUCUCCCAUGUUACAGGGGUCGACUACACUGACCUUUUCCCAUUACGACUUGGAUAUCUCUCUGCACAGAGCUUCAAUACUGAUGCCGUUUGUUUCUAUGGAAACUAGACUCAGAGAGGAAUCCAUACAUAUAUGGUAUGACCCCUAAUUAUCUCUGGUCAAUUUAUAGUGAAUUUCCAAAGUCGGAACAGGGAAUCCAGAAACUGUUCUGGCCCUGUUCCACAAGAACCCGAAUAUCUCUUACUGUACUGUUCCUAUGAUUGUUUCGUUACUUCCAUAUGAAAGUAGAUUCAUCAAGGUUCGAUUACAUAAUUUAUUCACUAUUUAAUUCCACUCCUACGAAUUCUUGUGAUUUUUCCAAUCCACACCACUGCUGCUAUCAGCUUCUGUUUUCAAGGUAAACCUUACCUAAUUUGGGGUUUCAUGGACCAACUAGGGCCUUGUCAUACAUAAGCCCACAUGUGAUCAUACUUAGCCAUUCCAGUGGCUGAUCACUUGCUCAACACUUCCAUUCCAACUAUAGUUACAUCAUGAAACCAUCUAUACAUUCAUAAACACGAAUGGUCUAAUGCCACACUCCACUUCUACAAGCCAUUUUCGCAUGGCUGUACACUUAUACAUUUCAUAAAGUACUCGAAAAACAACAAUGGGUAGUCCUAUACAUGCCAUAUCAAGAUUCAACCAAAAUAGUACCCAAAAGAGCCUUUGAUAGUGUGGGCGACUUCGACUUCAAGAUCCCGAGUCCGAUAGCUGGAGAACCAAAAAAAUCUAUAAAACAGAGGAGCAAUGUAACGAGUAAGCAAUUUAUGCUUAGUAAGUUUGAGCAAGGAAUUCCAGCAUAAACAAAGAAUAUCACACAUUUAGCUAAACGAAAUAUUUCAUAAUACGCAAUUUAUCGAUAUUAAACUUGCUUCACAUCAUUAACAACCCUUAUGCACAUACACAAUAGACUAACUUAGCCGAAGGCCGAUAGCUCGUUUAUCAACUGAGCGAACAUUUAUUUGUAAGGGCUCGAUUAAAUUCAACACAUACGUAACAUAUCCCCAUAUUGGGAUGUUUUUCGAGUAUUCGCUGGAAUUUUACAGCAAGCUCAUUCAUUACCAAAUCACGUACCUUCGGGAUUUAACCGGAUAUAGCUCCUCGUUCAAAUGCCUUCGGGACAUAGCCCGGAUUUAGUAACUCACACAAUGCCUUCGGGACAUAACCCGGAUUUAACAAUUCGCACGAAUGCCUUCGGGACUUAACCCGGAUUUAACAACUCGCACGAAUGCCUUCGGGACUUAACCUGGAUUUAGUAUCUCGCACAAAGGCCUUCGGAUCUUAAUCCGGAUAUAUUCACUUAGCACAAAGCCUUCGGGACUUAGCCCGGACAGCAUUCAAUUAAUCAUGCACAUCUAACAAUAAUUCAUGGCACAUUCAUAUUUCAUUUUCGUUUACGAAACUCAAACACAAGGCACAUAUUGUCCUUGCACAUUCGGCUCAAUAGCCACACAUAGAGCAUGAUUUAAUCACAUCAAAAUUUAAGCUCUCUUACUCAAGAACUUACCUCGGGUGUUGUCGAACGAUUCCGCUAGCUAUUCAACCACUUUUUCCUUCCCUUUAUCGGUUUU
rnacentral:lncRNA from 1 species